rnacentral:rRNA from 1 species
AGUGAACGCUGGCGGUAGGCCUAACACAUGCAAGUCGAACGGCAGCACAGUAAGAGCUUGCUCUUACGGGUGGCGAGUGGCGGACGGGUGAGGAAUACAUCGGAAUCUACUUUUUCGUGGGGGAUAACGUAGGGAAACUUGCGCUAAUACCGCAUACGACCUACGGGUGAAAGCAGGGGAUCUUCGGACCUUGCGCGAUUGAAUGAGCCGAUGUCGGAUUAGCUAGUUGGCGGGGUAAAGGCCCACCAAGGCGACGAUCCGUAGCUGGUCUGAGAGGAUGAUGAGCCACACUGGAACUGAGACACGGUCCAGACUCCUACGGGAGGCAGCAGUGGGGAAUAUUGGACAAUGGGCGCAAGCCUGAUCCAGCCAUACCGCGUGGGUGAAGAAGGCCUUCGGGUUGUAAAGCCCUUUUGUUGGGAAAGAAAAGCAGCAGGUUAAUACCCCGCUGUUCUGACGGUACCCAAAGAAUAAGCACCGGCUAACUUCGUG